ensembl:snRNA U6 U6 spliceosomal RNA
GAACUUCAGUGGCACUUACACUAAAGCUAGAAUGAUCCACAGAAGAUUAGCAUGACCCCUGUGCAAGGAUAACAUGCAGAUUUAUAAAGCAUUCCAUGUUUGU